rnacentral:misc_RNA from 1 species
AACGCACAUUGCGCCCCCGGGUCCCGCCCGGGGGCACGCCCGUCCGAGCGCCGUUGGAAGACCCGAGCCGCGGGCUCGCUGUUGGGCGCCGCCCCCCCGCGGGGCGCGCCCGGAAGGCGGAGGCGCCCCGAGGGCCCCCCGAGCGCAACGAGCCACGGCCCGCGCGAGGGAGCCCGCGAGGCCGCCGGCAGGCCCCGCGCCGCCACCAGCACGGAUGGCCUCGGAUCGGGCGGGGUUACCCGCUGAACUUAA